GCUCCCUCUUCAGGUGCUGCCUCUGUGUUGCCUUCCUCUGACUCAGCUGCAGGCCAGAGUCUUGAAACAGAGUGCUGUGACAUGGACAUGUGGCCAAGGACCAAUUACUCUGCUACAGUGCUGGGAUCCAGGGGCCCCUUCAUGGCAGAGGGCACAGGGAGUGAAUAGAGAUUUACAGGACCUUGAGGAGCAAUGGUGUUAGAGGAGAAGCAUAUGGCAGAGUUCAAGGCCAAGUAGUAAGGAAGAUGUCCCCUAAUAAUUUGUGGUUGUGUCCUCCCCUCAAGCAAAAUCACUGAUAUUUCAUGUUGGAUGGCGUCGCAAAGAAAUCUAUCUUUGGGAUGUCCCAGGAUUGCAAUUUUCACUAUCAAUUGCUGACCACCACUUCUGUGGAACUUUGACCUCUACGAUGAGCAAUUAGCCUCUUCAGAAGUCAGUUUCAACAGCUGCUCUUGAUUGGCUGCUGC